rnacentral:snRNA from 1 species
AUCGCUUCUCGGCCUUUUGGCUAAGAUCAAGUGUAGUAUCUUUUGUUUCUCUUGCCUUUGGGGAUGUAUCAUGAAAAAGGUUGCUUUGGCCGAUGUCGUAGAGGUUGCUGCCUAUGUUCUCCUCUAGAUUAUUGAUGGAUUCCUGUCUCACAUCGAGGUCUUUCAUCCAUUUGGAG